ensembl:snRNA U5 U5 spliceosomal RNA
UUACUCUGUUUUCUCUUCAUAUAAUAUAAAUCCUUCAUAUUUUACUAAAGAUUUCCUUGGACAGAAACAGGCAUGAGUGUCAAGGAAAUUUUUAAAGGAUUCAUUUUGUGUUU